UUGAACGCUGGCGGCAGGCUUAACACAUGCAAGUCGAGCGGGGGAAGGUAGCUUGCUACUGGACCUAGCGGCGGACGGGUGAGUAAUGCUUAGGAAUCUGCCUAUUAGUGGGGGACAACAUCUCGAAAGGGAUGCUAAUACCGCAUACGUCCUACGGGAGAAAGCAGGGGAUCUUCGGACCUUGCGCUAAUAGAUGAGCCUAAGUCGGAUUAGCUAGUUGGUGGGGUAAAGGCCUACCAAGGCGACGAUCUGUAGCGGGUCUGAGAGGAUGAUCCGCCACACUGGGACUGAGACACGGCCCAGACUCCUACGGGAGGCAGCAGUGGGGAAUAUUGGACAAUGGGGGGAACCCUGAUCCAGCCAUGCCGCGUGUGUGAAGAAGGCCUUAUGGUUGUAAAGCACUUUAAGCGAGGAGGAGGCUACUUUAGUUAAUACCUAGAGAUAGUGGACGUUACUCGCAGAAUAAGCACCGGCUAACUCUGUGCCAGCAGCCGCGGUAAUACAGAGGGUGCGAGCGUUAAUCGGAUUUACUGGGCGUAAAGCGUGCGUAGGCGGCUUAUUAAGUCGGAUGUGAAAU
rnacentral:rRNA from 1 species